rnacentral:rRNA from 1 species
CCUACGGGAGGCAGCAGUGGGGGAUAUUGCACAAUGGGGGCAACCCUGAUGCAGCGACGCCGCGUGUGGGAAGACGGCCCUCUGGAUUGUAAACCACUGUCCCCAGGGACGAAGAUGACGGUACCUGGGGAGGAAGCUCCGCCUAACUACGUGCCAGCCGCCGCGGUAAUACGUAGGGAGCGAGCGUUGUCCGGAAUUACUGGUUGAAAGGGGAGUGUUGGCGGGUCUGCAGGUAGUGUGGAAAAUCUGCCGGCUAAACCGGUAGCCGCACUCGAAACUGCAGUUCUUGAGUAAAGUAGAGGCAGGCGGAAUUCCUAGUGUAGCGGUGAAAUGCGUAGAUAUUAGGAGGAACUCCGAUUGCGAAGGCAGCAUACCGGCGCUCAACUGACGCUCAUGCACGAAAGUGUGGGUAUCGAACAGGAUUAGAUACCCUUGUAGUC